rnacentral:rRNA from 1 species
UACGUAGGCAGCAAGCGUUGUUCGGAGUUACUGGGCGUAAAGGGUGCGUAGGCGGCUUUUUAAGUUUGGUGUGAAAUCUCCCGGCUCAACUGGGAGGGUGCGCCGAAUACUGAGAGGCUAGAGUGUGGGAGAGGAAAGUGGAAUUCCUGGUGUAGCGGUGAAAUGCGUAGAUAUCAGGAGGAACACCGGUGGCGAAGGCGGCUUCUUGGGCCCUACCUGACGCUGAGGCGCGAAAGCCAGGGGAGCGAACGGG